rnacentral:rRNA from 1 species
CAGGAUGAACGCUGGCGGCGUGCUUAACACAUGCAAGUCGAACGAAGCAGCUUGAAGGAGACCUAGUCAAUGGAUAAGCUGACUUAGUGGCGGACGGGUGAGUAACGCGUGGGCAACCUGCCUCAUGGAGGGGGACAACAGUUGGAAACGACUGCUAAUACCGCAUAAGACCAAGCAUCGCAUGAUGCAAUGGUAAAAAGAUUUAUCGCCAUGAGAUGGACCCGCGUUAGAUUAGCUAGUUGGUGAGGUAACGGCUCACCAAGGCGACGAUCUAUAGCCGACCUGAGAGGGUGAUCGGCCACAUUGGGACUGAGACACGGCCCAAACUCCUACGGGAGGCAGCAGUGGGGAAUAUUGGACAAUGGGGGAAACCCUGAUCCCAGCGACGCCGCGUGAGUGAAGAAGUAUUUCGGUAUGUAAAGCUCUAUCAGCAGGGAAGAAAAUGACGGUACCUGACUAAGAAGCCCCGGCUAACUACGUGCCAGCCGCAGC